AUUGCCAUUGCCAAUUUUGUGGCCAAUCCAAUAGUUUAUUCUUUUCGUCUACAAGAUUAUCGCAAAAGUUUACUCUACUUAUUCUUCCAUUAUAAAAAAAACAAAAAUCACGCUCCUCUGAUUAAUCAGAGCAAUAAAACAAUGGUCACAAAAGUGUAAAGCAGCUGUAUGAUUCACGUUGACAGGUCUACUGAGGUUGAUGUGAUGUCUCAGCUUAAUUAAUUUAAUGAAACAACUCUUGUUGACGUUAUUAUCUAAUGUUUUUCGUAUGAUCAUUGUGUAAGCCACAUUCAUUAUAUAUUUGCACUUGAGGCGCUAUGAUGUUGCCAAAAUACGUUUAUAAUAUAUUUAUGCUGCAGGUAACGAUAGCAAUACAUUAUUUGCUACAUCGUUUUAAAAGAUCAGAGACUUUUAAACAAAAAGGAAACUGAUAAAUCAUAAUUUUUUAUUUUGUGUGGGAUGAAACACAUAUACGGAUGGCACAAAUACGGGUGAGGCGAUAAAACAUGGAUGAUGGGAUAAAACACGGGUGAAGGGAUAAAACACGGAUCUUAUUGAAAUUUUAUUUCUUUUCAAGUGGUGUUGUUUAGCAAAAAUAGUAUGAAGACGUUGUGCAUUAACAUUUUAUGCUUGUGUUUAAAUUGUUUCAUGUACCAAAAUGUGGGAAAGUAAAACUAUAAUGUUUUAAACAUCACCCACAAAAAUGAUUCGUAAAAUUUAUCUUGCAUGAUAAUAGUUAGCAUAUAGCUGAACUCUCCGCCAAAGACAUUAUCCAGACAUGGUUUUUCUCCUGAGAAAGUAUACCUAUAAUGUUGCAGGUUGCAAGUUAAAUGUUGUCGGUAAAGUGAAGUUGAUUCACAGUUUUUAAAAAAGUUUUUUUUUUCGUAGAAAAAGAAGUUGAUACUUAAUUCUCGAGAGCUCUUUAUUCCUGUUCUUAUUCUUUAUUCUAUUUGUGUUUGUUAUAUAAAUAUGUUUACCCUAUUGUUCUAUACUUAUCAAACGUCUGUCAACUAAACCAUUCAAUAACUAUUUUGGCACAACUAGAUAUGUUGUUAACUUGACACUCACAAGAUAUUAUUUGCUCGAACAACGUUGCCUAUUUUAAAAGUCUGACUUAUACGUAUAAUCUAACCAUGUCUUAUAAAUUAUAUUGUAUGAAAAUUUUAUGCUCUCCGAACUAA